UCUGUGGAGGGGAUUUGGCAGGUAGCCCCUGUUCACUUGCUGUAAGAUAGUGUUUUAGUAUUUCAGCCACCCUUAGGCACAACUCAGCCAGGCCUAGGAAGCAACCCAACGUCAUUGCCAUGAACCAUUUACACAAGUCACACCAAAAUCAACUGACACAUUUUUUUCCUGAUGGAACAGUUAAAAAAACAAAAAACUAUACAGUCAAAGUCUGGGGUUGAAGAGUGUGAAGCUCACAGCUCCUCCACACACACCCAACUGAGCAUGCUCAUCCUGUGAGGGGGAACCAGAGCCUUCCUGUAAACCAUGCGAGGUUACGAAUGUCUGGUAUACAGAAUAUUCUGGCCCAUAAACUCAACCUGUUUUUGAGGGGUAGGGGAUUUUCCAUCUUGUACAUAAAGAAAGAAAUCUGGGUAUCCUUCAGGUUAGAAAGGCAUUCUGUAAGAAUAGUGUUCCAGAGUUACAAAUCAUACUGAUAAGAGAAAAGCAAUUCUUCCUCUUGGGGAAAAAGAGGAAAAGAAAGAAGAAAAGAGAAAAAAGAAAAAAAGGGGGGAAAAAGAAAGCCUAUCAAUGCUUAAUCUGUUCUUUCAUUCCCACUGUAAAUCACAUCAAUACAUUUGGUGAAACUGCAACGGACCACCAUUUACAAGGUAGUUGAAUGCAGAAACCAAAACGAUUAUGCCCCCGCCCCACUCUAAAGGAAAAGACACAGAGUACAUUUCACAUAUUCAGAGAGUGGCUCAGUGGGCUCUUUCAAGCCUCAUCAAUCCUGUCCCCCUGCUCAGAACAACACUUCCUUUUCUGUAGCAGUUCCACAGGCCCUCUUGGCCCUUCUGCUCCAGCCCUUCUGGAACCAGGAAUCAUUGCCAAUAUUCAACGUUCCUGCACUGGGAGAACCUCAGGCCCUCUUCCUGGGAAGACCAAACCCCCUUGAGUGCUCCUCCUGCUUCAGACGGAGGUGACAGUCCUCACUUUGGCAGAGAGAGCUUGCUUAAACCUCCUCUUCAGGUCCUGCAUGUUGGGUGACUUGGGCCUGGGAAUGAGGGAGGUUCUUCGCUUCUCGGGUGUGCUGCUAGCUGCAGUCCAAGCUGAGGGUCAA
rnacentral:lncRNA from 1 species